AUUUUCAAGGACUCGUACCAAUCCAAUUUUCACUUGUCAAGCUCUCACAUAUUAAGAACAAGGGGUUAGGGUUAGGGCUUUACUCGUAAUCAACUAACCAAGUUUUAUCCUUUAGGGGUUAGGGCUUUCUUUAGACUACCGUUGAAGAAGAAUAGGAAAAAUUGGCCGAUGAUUUUACUUCUACUUUCCUAAUCUAGCUUCCUAAAAUGUCAGUUGAAGAAGACCAUGACGAUGUCAUGAGUGAAGAGGAUAUCACAGUAGUAGAGUCGAUGACAAUUCAAGAGCAUGCUUCAAAGAAAAGGAAAUUUACAUCAAAAGUAUGGAAUGAUUUUGAUUGGUCACGAGACAAAGAUGGUAAAGAAAAGGCUACGUGCAAGCAUUGUGGGAAGGAAUAUGCUUAUGACAGUCAGAAAGGAGGAACAUCAACUAUGUCAAGGCAUUUAAAGAAGUUCCCUAGACUGAAGAUGCAAGAUGUGGGGCAACUUUUGUUAUCUACAAAUAAUGGAGAACUAGCUACUCGUGCACGCAAAAUAGAUCAAUCAAAGUUUCGGGAUUUAGUUGCAAGACUAAUUAUUGGUAAAAAUCUCCCCUUUAAUUGUGUAAAAUGGACUGAAUUUAGGGAGUUAUGUAGUUAUCUGAAUGUCGAUGUUGAAACCAUAUCAAGGAAUACUACAAGGUCUGAUAUUCUUAAAAUGCAUAAGUUCCAAAAAGAAGUUAUUCGCAAGAAAUUACAAUGUGCUCCAGGUAAAAUAUGUCUAACAUCAGACAUGUGGACCUCCGUCAACACCA